CUCGACUUUCUUCUCUUCAGAGAGUGUUUGUCUCAUUUCGUACCCAUCCAGCUCGAGAACCACCUCCUCUUCGGGAAUUCCGAUUAGGGUUUUCUCUCUCUAAAUGGCCGCAAUAUCAUGGAAGACUUUACAAAAUGUAUUUUCAGGAGGUUCUUGCCAAAGGAUUAGGCAAAUGGACGCUCAGAACACCAGGGAGUGUUUUGCCCCUACUAAGCUAAACUUGUUGCCGUUGCAGGACAGCAAGUUGGCAUGGGCUGGCAGACCAGCCACACAAUGGACUGUCUUUUCCAUGUACCAAAUUAGUACUGAAAAUCGAGCAAGUGUCUAUUGCAAUGCUGCUGCAUCAACUAGUGCCCCCUCUUUCUUGGAAAAGAUUGACUUCCGUAAGCUCCAAAAUGGCAGUGAUAUUCGUGGUGUCGCUGUUGGUGGUGUUGAGGGGGAGCUUGUCAAUCUCACUGAGGCAGUGGCAGAAGCUAUAGCUGCUGCCUUUGCUGCUUGGUUGUCAGACAAAAAGAAAGCAGAGGGAACAAAAAAACUACGUGUUUCUGUGGGGCACGAUUCACGUAUAUCUGCCCAAAUGUUACAGGAUGCUGUAUCCCGAGGAAUUGCUGGUGCUGGCCUUGAUGUUAUUCAAUAUGGAUUGGCAUCUACACCAGCCAUGUUCAAAAGCACGCUUACAGAAGAUGCGAACUUUAUGUGUCCAGUGGAUGGCUCUAUAAUGAUUACAGCAAGUCAUCUUCCUUACAAUCGUAAUGGGUUCAAAUUUUUCACAAGUGCUGAAGGACUAGGAAAAAAUGACAUUAAGGAUAUCCUAGAACGUGCUGCAAAUAUAUAUGAUGGUUUUUCUGAAGAGAAAUUGAAGGAAUCAAGACAGGUGGCUUAUGCAGCUGUGAAAAAGGUGGACUACAUGAAGGUUUACACAUCGGAUCUCGUAAAAGCAGUUCGCAAGGCAGCAGGAAAUAUAGAGAAGCCAUUGGAGGGGUUCCAUGUUGUCGUGGAUGCAGGAAAUGGAGCGGGAGGAUUUUUUGCUGGAAGCGUGCUUGAACCUUUAGGGGCUAUUACUUCUGGAAGUCAGUUCUUGGACCCAGAUGGCAUGUUUCCAAAUCAUAUCCCUAAUCCAGAAGACAAAGCAGCGAUGAAAGCUAUAACCACAGCUGCGCUUGCAAACAAGGCUGAUUUAGGCAUCAUAUUUGAUACCGAUGUUGACAGAUCUGCUGCCGUAGAUUCAAGUGGUCGCGAGUUUAACCGCAACAGAUUGAUUGCUUUGAUGUCUGCUCUUGUUCUGGAAGAGCAUCCAGGUACAACAAUUGUUACUGAUAGCGUGACUUCAGAUGGUCUGACUACAUUCAUUGAGAAGAAACUUGGAGGAAAGCAUCAUCGGUUUAAAAGAGGAUACAAGAAUAUUAUUGAUGAGGCCAUUCGUUUGAAUUCUGUGGGAGAGGAAUCACAUUUAGCCAUUGAAACCAGCGGUCAUGGAGCUCUCAAGGAGAAUAAUUGGCUUGAUGAUGGAGCAUUUCUCAUGGUUAAGCUUUUAAACAAACUUGCUUCAACUAGGGUAUCAGGAGGAGCAAAUGGAGGCAGUAAAGUUCUUACUGAUCUUAUUGAUGGCUUGGAGGAAGCAGCUGUUGCAGUGGAGCUAAGGCUUAAGAUUGAUCAGAACCAUGCAGAUCUCAAAGGAGGAUCUUUCAAGGACUAUGGAGAGGCUGUCCUGAAACAGUUGGAGAAAAUGUCAGAUGCUGAUCCGAAAUUGCUAAAAGCUCCUGUCAAUUAUGAGGGGGUUAGGGUUUCAGGCUAUGGUGGUUGGUUCCUCCUAAGAUUAUCCCUUCAUGACCCUGUUCUGCCUCUCAACAUUGAGGCACCAAGCAAUGAGGAUGCUGUGAAACUUGGACUUCUUGUGCUGUCCACUGUUAAAGAAUUUCCGGCUUUGGACAUUUCAGCAUUGGAAAAAUUCACCCAACCAUGAUACUUGAGUGCAGCAUUGGUUGCUUAGAUCCAACAUUCACCAUCUAUACUCACAGAGAUGGUGGGUCUGCCCCUACCUUUAUACAGGCACUCAUCUUCGCCGUCAAGGAAUAAAUAUUGAUGGUAGUUGUUGAGUAUCGCAAGGUGAUUGCUAGACAGAGAAGUUCUUCAUGCGGCUUCUAAUGUGCUGUAAGAGUAAACAUAUCCGUCUCUACAAAGCAUGUUAAGAAUGAUUCUAUCAUAAUGAAACAAUUCUCGUUUAUUUGCACGGAGUAAAUUAUGUCUAACCUGUAAUUUUUGUUGUUAUAAUUCAUCAUAUCAUCAUUUGAGUUUUUUCUCAA